rnacentral:rRNA from 1 species
UACGUAGGGGGCAAGCGUUGUCCGGAAUCAUUGGGCGUAAAGCGCGUGUAGGCGGCUUCGUAAGUCCGUUGUGAAAGUCCAGGGCUCAACCCUGGAAUGCCGAUGGAUACUGCGGAGCUAGAGUCCGGAAGAGGCGAGUGGAAUUCCCGGUGUAGAGGUGAAAUUCGUAGAUAUCGGGAGGAACACCAGUGGCGAAGGCGGCGAUCUGGGAAGAUACUGACGCUGAGGUGCGAAAGCGUGGGGAGCAAACAGG